AUGUCUUCUACUCUACCUCAAUAUACCGCUUCUGACUACGCCAAGUUCGCUUUGGCCGGUGCCAUUGGUUGUGGUACUACCCACUCUUCCAUGGUUCCAAUCGAUGUCGUUAAGACUAGAAUCCAAUUGGAACCAACCGUUUACAACAAGGGUAUGAUCUCUUCUUUCAGACAGAUUAUCUCUGCUGAAGGUGCUGGUGCUCUAUUGACUGGUUUCGGUCCAACUUUGUUGGGUUACUCUUUGCAAGGUGCCUUCAAGUUCGGUGGUUACGAAUUGUUCAAGAAGUUGGCCAUUGACAACAUGGGUUACGAAAACGCUGUUAACUACAAGAACACUGUCUACAUUGGUUCCGCUGCUAUUGCCGAAUUCUUUGCUGAUAUUGCUUUGUGUCCAUUGGAAGCCACCAGAAUUAGAUUGGUUUCUCAACCAAGCUUUGCUAACGGUUUGUUCGGUGGUUUCAGCAGAAUCUUGAGAGAAGAAGGUGUUGGUUCUUUCUACAACGGUUUCACCCCAAUUCUAUUCAAGCAAAUUCCAUACAACAUUGCUAAGUUCGUUGUGUUCGAACAUGCUGCUGAAGUUUACUUCGGUCUAGCUGGUUCAAAGGAAUCCUUGUCUGCCUCUGCUACUACUGGUAUCAACUUGUUGGCUGGUUUGACUGCUGGUUUGGCUGCUGCCGUUGUUUCUCAACCAGCUGACACUCUAUUGUCUAAGGUUAACAAGACCAAGAAGGCUCCAGGUCAAUCUACCGUCGGUUUGUUGGCUCAAUUGGCCAAGCAACUAGGUUUCGUUGGUUCCUUCGCCGGUUUGCCAACACGUUUGGUUAUGGUCGGUACCUUGACUUCCUUGCAAUUCGGUAUCUACGGUUCCCUAAAGAAGACUUUGGGUUGUCCACCAGCUGUCGAAAUCGGUAAGUCCUCCCACUAA
rnacentral:tRNA from 1 species